UCGGGGGACCAUUGAUGGCGGGACACACAACAAGGAAGUGAAUGCAGUCAGUGUAGAUGCUAUGGCGUGGGAAUACUGGUGCGUGUGGUGGAAAUGUUUGGUGGAGCAAAACCAGCGGGUACCUCGCGGCUUGCGGAGAUGUUGUGGAUGAAGACUGGUGAGUUACUGGCUGUUUUCUC